rnacentral:ncRNA from 1 species
AAAAGGUUUGGUCCUAGCCUCAGUAUUAAUUGCAACUAAGAUUUAUACAUGCAAGUUUCAGCACCCCUGUGAGAAUGCCCUCAUCAACCUAUUAAUUGACUAGGAGCUGGUAUCAGGCACACACACGUAGCCCAAGACACCUUGCUAAGCCACACCCCCAAGGGACUUCAGCAGUAAUAAACAUUGAUUUUAUAAGCGUAAGCUUGAAUCAGUUAGAGUUAACUGGGUUGGUAAAUCUCGUGCCAGCCACCGCGGUUAUACGAGUAACCCUUAUUAAUACUUUUACGGCGUAAAGAGUGGUUUAAAAAAAUCUUAAAUAACUAAAGUUAUGACCUUAUCAAGCUGUUAUACGCUCUCAUAAGCAGAAUUAUCGACAACGAAAGUGACUUUAUAAUAUUAGAAAUAUUGAUCCCACGACAGUUAGGCCCCAAACUAGGAUUAGAUACCCUACUAUGCCUAACCACAAACUUAGACAAAAAUCUACUUCACUGUCCGCCAGUGUACUACAAGCGCUAGCUUAAAACCCAAAGGACUUGGCGGUGCUCCAGACCCCCCUAGAGGAGCCUGUUCUAUAACCGAUAUUCCUCGUUAAACCUCACCUCUCCUUGCCACUUCCGCCUAUAUACCGCCGUCGUCAGCUAACCCUGUGAAGGUUAAAAAGUAAGCAAAAAGAAUUAACUUCCAUACGUCAGGUCAAGGUGUAGCAAAUGGAGGGGGAAGAAAUGGGCUACAUUUUCUAUUAAGAAAAUACGGAUAGUAAACUGAAAAAUUUACUUUAAGGUGGAUUUAGCAGUAAGGAAAAGUCAGAGUAUUUUCCUGAAGCCGGCUCUGGAGCGCGCACACACCGCCCGUCACUCUCCUCAACAAAAAUUCUUAUUUUUAUUUAAAAACUUUUAUAAUACAAAGAGGAGGCAAGUCGUAACAUGGUAAGUAUACUGGAAAGUGUGCUUGGAAUCAA